CAAAAAUCGGUCAUUAUGUUAAAUAAAUUUCCAUGUCACACUCAAUCUGUGGAGAGAUGUGUUAAAAUUAUCACUGAAGCAUCAGGGAAAAUUUGCGAGGAUGACAAAAGAGAUGGCUACAAUCGAGUAAAAUUUGAAGAUUAUUAAAGAACCAAAGGACACGGUGAUGUAGAGGAGAGGGAGACGGGGGUGGAACUCGAUUAAGCAGCCACCUCCUCGUGCGACAAAAUUAGCGUGCCGACCGACCGACGGACACGAUUUCCUCCCGCGUGCGACACGCAACAGGGCGUGCAGAGGAUACUAUGCCAUACGUGGGGCCCAUCACCAUACCGGGCUGCUUAUUGCUAUUUGGAACUUUUCUACCAGUUCGGGUCCAGUCUUUUAGUGUGUUUUACCCAAAACGCGAGAUAUUUUGUCAUUGAUAACGCCUGCUGACAUACCGAAUCCGCCAUAACAAAGACGUUGUUCAUGUUCUUUAUGUUGACUGCUUCUAGUGUAAACUGACU